GAGUGGUGGCGAUUUUUAUGAAGUUUGGCCUCAUGCUGUUCAAUGUCUCUCCUUUUCUCCCUUUUGAACAUUUGAGUAAAAUACACAUUACUCAAAAUGCUCUGGGAAGAGACUUGAGAGGUCACAAGGGGGCAACUGGAUGGCAAUGAAGUAUUGAUUAUGGCCUCAAAGAGUACAGAGUGUGAGCAGGGACUUCCCAAGAGAGCCCAGACCUGUUUAUGUUAAAUAGAUAUGUGCAGUUGCAUUUGUAUGGGCCCAAAAAUGGCAGUUUUAGGAGAAGGACAAUUUGUCGAGAAAAGCUUCAUAAAGGAAAUUACAAGUUUUCCUAGUACCGGGUAUUAAAAUAACUGAAAGUGCCCCCAGCCCACCUGGAUUAAUGGAAAGCAUUGCAGGCCAAGCACGAAGGAAAGCACGUGUAAAGGCACUGGGGUAUAGAGCAGCCUGGUUUAUUUGAGCUCCUCUGAGCAAACACUGAUGGGCAGGAUUAUGAGGGAUAAAGUCAAAAGGAGCAAGUUCAGUAAUCUAAUCCAGUAAUCAGGGUUUGUGGAAAUAAGGACAUGUGUUUACCUUCAGAAUUAUUUACUCAGCAUUUACUGACUCUCAAAUACCUGCCAGCUUUUACAAAAGUAACUUGUUCUGAUUUGGCAAAAACCUGGGAAACUCGUGAUUUCUUAUUUUAUUGCCUAUUGAUAAGAAACCUGACAGGUCCGGUGGUGAACUUGUCCAAGGAUAUCCUGCCUUAUUUAUACUCAUCACUCAUGUACAGUAUGCCAAUAUUUACCUUUCUGCUGAACACCACCUCUCCACGCGCACUGGAGAGAACGUGUCAAGAUCCUUCAGGUCCUGUGUCCCGGGAGGUGAAGGAUUGCCUGAGACAGCAGCCCACAGCAGCAGAAAACUGGCAACUAUUAAAACACACUUCUUGACUUACAGUCACCUGUCAGAGGCUGAGAUGUAUCUGGAAGGCCAGUGAGCGCCUGUGAGAAAAUUGAAGGAACUUCAAAUCAUUCGUUCAGAAAAAAAUUUAUUGAGCAAUUACUAUGUUCUAGAAACUUGGUUCGAGUGCUGGGAAUACAGGCUACGCAACUGACAUAGCUUAGUCGUGAUUCCACUUUACCCGGUAAUCUCUGCCUGACUCCAGUCCUGCCACCUGCCACUCCCUGCUGGGUCUCCUGAGGCAAGCACACAUAGAAACACAGCAAUAGAUGUUUAUGUUUCCCGGGAUUGUCACAUUUUGCUGAGCUCAUAACGGAACCGAACAAAUAGCCCUGCCAUCCUCUGUUAAUACGUCUUGUCGUUCACCGAGGGCUUCACUCCCCAUUCUCCUGGGCUCCUGCCGCUCAGAAAUUCGUGUGCCUGGCUGCUUCUCCAACGUGAUCUGGACUAACCUGAUGCAGUUCCCAGGCCUACCCUUCCUGGGCACGUUGAUAGAAUUUUUAGACCAGAGGGACUUCCUCGAUCUGCUCAUCUCACUGAGUGAUAUGCCGCACGAUUGCUUGCUGCUCCAAAAAUCGGCAUUUUAAAUAAAAAAGGAAUGAGCUAAGGACAUAUGAACAAGAGUGAAUCUCAAAAGCAUUAUCCUGGGUGAAAUAGCCAGACACAGAAGAACACUAUGGUGUGAUUCCAUUUAUUGGAA